rnacentral:rRNA from 1 species
CGGGUGCACUGAUCCAGCCGGGCCUUUCCCUCUGUGGAACCCCAUGGCCUUCACUGGCUGUGGCGGGGAAACAGGACUUUUACUUUGAAAAAAUUAGAGUGCUCCAGGCAGGCCUAUGCUCGAAUACAUUAGCAUGGAAUAAUAGAAUAGGACGUGUGGUUCUAUUUUGUUGGUUUCUAGGACCGCCGUAAUGAUUAAUAGGGACAGUCGGGGGCAUCAGUAUUCAAUUGUCAGAGGUGAAAUUCUUGGAUCUAUUGAAGACUAACUACUGCGAAAGCAUUUGCCAAGGAUGUUUUCAUUGAUAAGGAACGAAAGUUAGGGGAUCGAAGACGAUCAGAUACCGUCGUAGUCUUAACUAUAAACUAUGCCGACUAGGGAUCGGACGAUGUUAUUCUUUGACGCGUUCGGCACCUUUCGGGAAAUCAAAGCGCUUGGGCUCCAGGGGGAGUAUGGUCGCAAGGCUGAAACUUAAAGAAAUUGACGGAAGGGCACCACCAGGGGUGGAACCUGCGGCUUAAUUUGACUCAACACGGGGAAACUCACCAGGUCCAGACACAGUGAGGAUUGACAGAUUGAGAGCUCUUUCUUGAUUCUGUGGGUGGUGGUGCAUGGGCCGUUCUUAGUUGGUGGAGUGAUUUGUCUGCUUAAUUGCGAUAACGAACGAGACCUUAACCUGCUAAAUAGCCCGUACUGCUUUGGCAGUUCGCCGGCUUCUUAGAGGGACUAUCGG